CGUAGGGUGCAAGCGAUGUUCGGAAUCAUUGGGCGUAAAGCGCGUGUAGGUGGUUAGUUAAGUCGAUUGUGAAAUCCCUGGGCUCAACCGAGGAAGUGCAGUCGAAACUAAUUAGCUAGAGGACGGCAGAGGAAGGUGGAAUUCCAAGUGUAGAGGUGAAAUUCGUAGAUAUUUGGAGGAAUACCGGUGGCGAAGGCGGCCUUCUGGACCGGUCCUGACACUGAGACGCGAAAGCGUGGGGAGCAAACAGGAUUAGAUACCCUGGUAGUCCACGCUGUAAACGAUGGGUACUAGAUGUUGCAGGAAUUGACCCCUGCAGUGUCGACGCUAACGCAUUAAGUACCCCGCCUGGGAAGUACGGCCGCAAGGUUA
rnacentral:rRNA from 1 species